CAUAUGCUUGUCUCAAAGAUUAAGCCAUGCAAGUCUAAGUAUAAGCACUUAUACUGUGCAAACUGCGGAAAGCUCAUUAUAUCAGUUAUAGUUUAUUUGAUGGUACCCUUACUACAUGGAUAACCGUAGUAAUUCUAGAGCUAAUACAUGCCCGGUAACGGUGACCUCUCGGGGAAGCCGCGGACUUAUUAGAUACAAAACCAAUCCCUUCGGGGUCCAUUGGUGAAUCAUAAUAAUUCAUCGAAUCGCAUGCCUUCGGGCGGCGAUGGGUCAUUCAAAUUUCUGCCCUAUCAGCUGUGAUGUUAGUGUAGUGGACUAACAUGGCUAAAACGGGUGACGGAGGAUUAGGGUCUGAUUCCGGAGGGGGAGCCUGAGAAAUGGCUACCACUUCCAAGGAAGGCAGCAGGCGCGUAAAUUACCCAAUCCCGACACGGGGAGGUAGUGACAAGAAAUAACAAUACUGGACGUUUCUACGUUUGGUAAUUGAAAUGAGUACAACCUAAAAUCCUUAACAAGGAACAAUUGGAGGGCAAGUCUGGUGCCAGCAGCCGCGGUAAUACCAGCUCCAAUAGCGUAUAUUAAAGUUGUUGCAGUUAAAAGGCUCGUAGUCGAACUUAUGGUUCUUUAGUCUUGUCCCGUUCUUUUGUGGAACGUUGUGACGAGUCUUAGAACCUUCUUGGUUGAGAGCGCUUCUGCCCUUUACUGGUUGGUUUCUUGACUCAGAUCUUUUACUGUGAGAGAACAAAGUGUUCAAAGCAGGCUUGAUGCUUGAAUGCGUUAGCAUGGAAUAAUAAGAUAGGACUUCGGCUCUAUUUUGUUGGCUUUCAGGACCAAAGUAAUGAUUAAUAGGGAUAGUUGGGGGUGCUCGUAUUCAACGGUCAGCGGUGAAAUGCAUGGACCCGUUAAAGACGAACUUAUGCGAAAGCAUUCACCAAGGAUAUCUUCUUUGAUCAAGAACGAAAGUUGGGGGAUCGAAGACGAUCAGAUACCGUCGUAGUCUCAACCAUAAACUAUGCCAACUGGUGAUUGGCGGCAGUUGAUCGUUGACCCCGUCAGCAACCUAUGAGAAAUCAAAGUCUCUGGGUUCUGGGGGGAGUAUGGUCGCAAGGCUGAAACUUAAAGGAAUUGACGGAAGGGCACCACCAGGGGUGGAGCCUGCGGCUUAAUUUGACUCAACACGGGGAAACUUACCAGGUCCGGACAUAGUAAGGAUUGACAGAUUGAAGUUCCUUUCUUGAUUCUAUGGGUGGUGGUGC
rnacentral:rRNA from 1 species